GCGAGAAAGUAUCUUCGGAUAUGAGUAGAGCGGCGGACGGGUGAGUAUCGCGUAGGAAUCUACCUAGUAGAAGGGGAUAGCCCGGGGAAACCCGGAUUAGUACCGUAUACCUCCUUCGGGAGAAAGAAGGCCUCUCUUUGAAGCUUUCGCUAUUAGAUGAGCCCGCGUAAGAUUAGCUUGUUGGUGAGGUAAAGGCUCACCAAGGCAACGAUCUUUAGCUGGUCUGAGAGGACGAUCAGCCACAUUGGGACUGAGACACGGCCCAGACUCCUACGGGAGGCAGCAGUGGGGAAUAUUGGACAAUGGGCGCAAGCCUGAUCCAGCCAUACCGCGUGUGUGAAGAAGGUCUUCGGGUUGUAAAGCACUUUAAGCAGGGAGAAAAAGUUAUAAGUUAAUACCUUAUGACCUUGAUGUUACCUGCUGAAUAAGCACCGGCUAAUUCC
rnacentral:rRNA from 1 species